rnacentral:rRNA from 1 species
AGGUUGAUCCUGGCUCAGGAUGAACGCUGGCGGAGUGCCUAACGCAUGCCAGUCAAGCCAAGCACUUAAGUUCUAUUCUUCGGAUGAAGACUUCUUUGACUGAACGGGGGACGGGUGAGUAACACGUGGGUAACCUGCCUCAUACGGGGGAAUAGCAGUUCGGAAACUACUGAUAAUGCCGCAUAAGCGCACAGCAUGGCAUGGAGCAUUGUGAAACACUCCGGUGGUAUGAGAUGGACCCGCGUCUGAUUAGCUAGUUGGGGGGGUAAUGGCCUACCAAGGCGACGAUCAGUAGCCGGCCUGAGAGGGUGAACGGCCACAUUGGGACUGAGACACGGCCCACACUCCUACGGGAGGCAGCAGUGGGGAAUAUUGCACAAUGGGGGAAACCCUGAUGCAGCAACGCAGCGUGAGUGAAGAAGUAUUUCGGUAUGUAAAGCUCUAUCAGCAGGGAAGAAAAUGACGGUACCUGAAUAAGAAGCACCGGCUAAAUACGUGCCAGCAGCCGCGGUAAUACGUAUGGUGCAAGCGUUAUCCGGAUUUACUGGGUGUAAAGGGAGCGUAGGCGGCGGGGCAAGUCAGAAGUGAAAUCCCGGGGCUCAACCCCGGGACUGCUUUUGAAACUGUUUUCCUAGAGUGUCGGAGAGGUAAGCGGAAUUCCUAGUGUAGCGGUGAAAUGCGUAGAUAUUAGGAGGAACACCAGUGGCGAAGGCGGCUUACUGGACUGAAACUGACACUGAGGCACGAAAGCGUGGGGAGCAAACAGGAUUAGAUACCCUGGUAGUCCACGCCGUAAACGAUG